GACGGAGGAUGCAAGCGUUAUCCGGAAUGAUUGGGCGUAAAGCGUCCGCAGGUGGCAGUUCAAGUCUGCUGUCAAAGACCGGGGCUUAACUUCGGAAAGGCAGUGGAAACUGAACAGCUAGAGUAUGGUAGGGGCAGAGGGAAUUCCUGGUGUAGCGGUGAAAUGCGUAGAAAUCAGGAAGAACAUCGGUGGCGAAGGCGCUCUGCUGGACCAUAACUGACACUCAGGGACGAAAGCUAGGGGAGCGAACAGG
rnacentral:rRNA from 1 species